rnacentral:lncRNA from 1 species
AUGCCACAAAACCAUCUCUGCAACGCCCACGUGACCAUGGCUCAGAAUAUACUCACUGUUUCAGAGGCUGUCAGUAACCGUCCUCUUCCAGACCCGGCUGUGCAGGCGAGGAUGGCAGGCGUCUGGCAUGGCUAUUCCCAGACGCUCAUGGCUCUUCCUGCAGCUCCAUGGGUCGGGAUGGUGCUACUACAGACAAAGCGUGCUGAGUUGUGCAGGAGGCGACUCUUGGCUAUGGUGAAAAUGCAAAACUGGAGGCAGAGGCAGCAAGACUUUCAACAGUCUGAGGUGUUUGCAAAGUGGAUAAUUGUGCAUGACCAGAGGAAUUGGAGUCUCCAUCCCGUCAUGCUUCUGAAGACCCACUGGCAUGCACUGGACAAGGAGAAGGCUUCUGUUAUCCAGCCAGAGAUGACRAAGGGGACCGAGGACACAUCGUGGACAACGGAUUGCGAAGGGCAAGCAGUCCAAUGACCUGCUUGCAAACAAUCCUGAUUUGAAAAUUCUUUAUCUAAUCUAAACUAAUAAUGACAAAUAGCCCUGAAAAAUAGUAGAAUCAAUUCACUAACCAAGCGAAGGCCUAGACUGAUAAUGAUAAAUUCACUCCAGUCUAAAUGUCCUUGUGGACCAUGGUUUUUAGUCUACAGAUAUUAAUUUGAAUUUUGGAUAGCUUUUCUAAGCUGCAUCUCCAAACUUUUUUGACAGUUGCUUAUCUUUGCUACUAAAAAUCAUUAGAUUGUUUAUUUGUGUCAUGCAAUCAAUAAGAAAAAUAAAAGAUACUAAAGCACUUUAUUUCCA